rnacentral:tRNA from 1 species
CAUUAGGUGGCUGAAAGUAAGCAAUGGUCUCUUAAACCAUUCCAUAGUAAACUCACACCUACUCCUGAUGA